CCCUAGCCCUGAUAGUAGCGGCAUCCUUUUUAUUGCUCCUUUAGCAAUAAAAAGAUAUAGCGGAUAGCGGGAAACAGC
rnacentral:sRNA from 2 species